rnacentral:rRNA from 1 species
GGUUAAGUUAGAAAGGGCGCACGGUGGAUGCCUUGGCACUAGGAGCCGAAGAAGGACGGGACUAACACCGAUAUGCUUUGGGGAGCUGUACGUAAGCGUUGAUCCAGAGAUUUCCGAAUGGGGGAACCCACUAUCUUUAGUCGGAUAGUAUCCUUACGUGAAUACAUAGCGUGAGGAAGGCAGACCCAGGGAACUGAAACAUCUAAGUACCUGGAGGAAGAGAAAGAAAAAUCGAUUUCCUGAGUAGCGGCGAGCGAAACGGAAAGAGCCCAAACCAAGAAGCUUGCUUCUUGGGGUUGUAGGACACUCUAUACGGAGUUACAAAAGAAAGUUAUAAAUGAAGCGGUCUGGAAAGGCCCGCCAAAGACGGUAACAGCCCGGUAGUUGAAAUGGCUUUCUCUCCAGAGUGGAUCCUGAGUACGGCGGAACACGUGAAAUUCCGUCGGAAUCCGGGAGGACCAUCUCCCAAGGCUAAAUACUCCCUAGUGACCGAUAGUGAACCAGUACCGUGAGGGAAAGGUGAAAAGCACCCCGGAAGGGGAGUGAAACAGUUCCUGAAACCGUGUGCCUACAAGUAGUUAGAGCCCGUUAAUGGGUGAUAGCGUGCCUUUUGUAGAAUGAACCGGCGAGUUACGAUUUGUUGCAAGGUUAAGCGGAAAAAGCGGAGCCGUAGCGAAAGCGAGUCUGAAUAGGGCGCAUAAGUAACAGGUCGUAGACCCGAAACCAGGUGAUCUACCCAUGUCCAGGAUGAAGGUAAGGUAAUACUUACUGGAGGUCCGAACCCACGCACGUUGAAAAGUGCGGGGAUGAGGUGUGGGUAGCGGAGAAAUUCCAAUCGAACUUGGAGAUAGCUGGUUCUCUCCGAAAUAGCUUUAGGGCUAGCAUACGAGGAGGCAAUGGUGGGAUACUACCCUGGCUGUAUGACCAUUCUAACCCGCCACGCUUAGCGCGUGGGGAGACAGUGUCAGGUGGGCAGUUUGACUGGGGCGGUCGCCUCCUAAAGAGUAACGGAGGCGCCCAAAGGUUCCCUCAGAAUGGAUGGAAAUCAUUCGCAGAGUGUAAAGGCACAAGGGAGCUUGACUGCGAGACUGACAAGUCGAGCAGGGACGAAAGUCGGGCUUAGUGAUCCGGUGGUUCCGCAUGGAAGGGCCAUCGCUCAACGGAUAAAAGCUACCCCGGGGAUAACAGGCUUAUCUCCCCCAAGAGUCCACAUCGACGGGGAGGUUUGGCACCUCGAUGUCGGCUCGUCGCAUCCUGGGGCUGUAGUCGGUCCCAAGGGUUGGGCUGUUCGCCCAUUAAAGCGGCACGCGAGCUGGGUUCAGAACGUCGUGAGACAGUUCGGUCCCUAUCCGUCGCGGGCGCAGGAAAUUUGAGAGGAGCUGUCCUUAGUACGAGAGGACCGGGAUGGACACACCGCUGGUGUACCAGUUGUUCCGCCAGGAGCAUCGCUGGGUAGCUAUGUGUGGCAGGGAUAAACGCUGAAAGCAUCUAAGCGUGAAGCCCCCCUCAAGAUGAGAUUUCCCAUUUCUUCGGAAAGUAAGAUCCCUGAAAGAUGAUCAGGUAGAUAGGUUUGGAGUGGAAGUGUAGCGAUACAUGGAGCGGACAAAUACUAAUCGAUCGAGGACUUAACC